rnacentral:rRNA from 1 species
AACGAACGCUGGCGGCAUGCCUAACACAUGCAAGUCGAACGAGACCUUCGGGUCUAGUGGCGCACGGGUGCGUAACGCGUGGGAACCUGCACUUAGGUUCGGAAUAACUCCCCGAAAGGGGUGCUAAUACCGGAUAAUGUCUUCGGACCAAAGAUUUAUCGCCUUUGGAUGGGCCCGCGUUGGAUUAGCUAGUUGGUAGGGUAAAAGCCUACCAAGGCGACGAUCCAUAGCUGGUCUGAGAGGAUGAUCAGCCACACUGGGACUGAGACACGGCCCAGACUCCUACGGGAAGCAGCAGUGGGGAAUAUUGGACAAUGGGCGAAAGCCUGAUCCAGCAAUGCCGCGUGAGUGAUGAAGGCCUUAGGGUUGUAAAGCUCUUUUACCCGGGAUGAUAAUGACAGUACCGGGAGAAUAAGCUCCGGCUAACUCCGUG